AUUGAACGCUGGCGGCAUGCUUUACACAUGCAAGUCGAACGGUAGACCCUUUCGGGGGUUGAGAGUGGCGAACGGGUGAGUAAUGCAUCGGAACGUGCCCAGUCGUGGGGGAUAACGCAGCGAAAGUUGUGCUAAUACCGCAUACGACCUGAGGGUGAAAGCGGGGGACCGGUAACGGCCUCGCGCGAUUGGAGCGGCCGAUGUCUGAUUAGCUAGUUGGUGGGGUAAAGGCUCACCAAGGCGACGAUCAGUAGCGGGUCUGAGAGGAUGAUCCGCCACACUGGGACUGAGACACGGCCCAGACUCCUACGGGAGGCAGCAGUGGGGAAUUUUGGACAAUGGGGGAAACCCUGAUCCAGCCAUGCCGCGUGCGGGAAGAAGGCCU
rnacentral:rRNA from 1 species